rnacentral:rRNA from 1 species
CCUACGGGUGGCAGCAGUGAGGAAUCUUGGUCAAUGGACGAGAGUCUGAACCAGCCAAGUAGCGUGAAGGAUGACUGCCCUAUGGGUUGUAAACUUCUUUUAUAUGGGAAUAAAAUGUUCCCCGUGUGGGAUUUUGUAUGUACCAUAUGAAUAAGGAUCGGCUAACUCCGUGCCAGCAGCCGCGGUAAUACGGAGGAUCCGAGCGUUAUCCGGAUUUAUUGGGUUUAAAGGGAGCGUAGGUGGAUUGUUAAGUCAGUUGUGAAAGUGUGCGGCUCAACCGUAAAAUUGCAGUUGAAACUGGCAGUCUUGAGUACAGGAGAGGUGGGCGGAAGUCGUGGUGUAGCGGUGAAAUGCUUAGAGAUCACGAAGAACUCCGAUUGCGAAGGCAGUUCACUGGACUGCAACUGACACUGAGGCUCGAAAGUGUGGGUAUCAAACAGGAUUAGAUACCCUAGUAGUC